rnacentral:rRNA from 1 species
UAGGUGAAGCGACUUGCUCGUGGAGCUGAAAUCAGUCGAAGAUACCAGCUGGCUGCAACUGUUUAUUAAAAACACAGCACUGUGCAAACACGAAAGUGGACGUAUACGGUGUGACGCCUGCCCGGUGCCGGAAGGUUAAUUGAUGGGGUCAGCGCAAGCGAAGCUCUUGAUCGAAGCCCCGGUAAACGGCGGCCGUAACUAUAACGGUCCUAAGGUAGCGAAAUUCCUUGUCGGGUAAGUUCCGACCUGCACGAAUGGCGUAAUGAUGGCCAGGCUGUCUCCACCCGAGACUCAGUGAAAUUGAACUCGCUGUGAAGAUGCAGUGUACCCGCGGCAAGACGGAAAGACCCCGUGAACCUUUACUAUAGCUUGACACUGAACAUUGAGCCUUGAUGUGUAGGAUAGGUGGGAGGCUUAGAAGUGUGGACGCCAGUCUGCAUGGAGCCGACCUUGAAAUACCACCCUUUAAUGUUUGAUGUUCUAACGUUGACCCGUAAUCCGGGUUGCGGACAGUGUCUGGUGGGUAGUUUGACUGGGGCGGUCUCCUCCUAAAGAGUAACGGAGGAGCACGAAGGUUGGCUAAUCCUGGUCGGACAUCAGGAGGUUAGUGCAAUGGCAUAAGCCAGCUUGACUGCGAGCGUGACGGCGCGAGCAGGUGCGAAAGCAGGUCAUAGUGAUCCGGUGGUUCUGAAUGGAAGGGCCAUCGCUCAACGGAUAAAAGGUACUCCGGGGAUAACAGGCUGAUACCGCCCAAGAGUUCAUAUCGACGGCGGUGUUUGGCACCUCGAUGUCGGCUCAUCACAUCCUGGGGCUGAAGUAGGUCCCAAGGGUAUGGCUGUUCGCCAUUUAAAGUGGUACGCGAGCUGGGUUUAGAACGUCGUGAGACAGUUCGGUCCCUAUCUGCCGUGGGCGCUGGAGAAUUGAGGGGGGCUGCUCCUAGUACGAGAGGACCGGAGUGGACGCAUCACUGGUGUUCGGGUUGUCAUGCCAAUGGCACUGCCCGGUAGCUAAAUGCGGAAGAGAUAAGUGCUGAAAGCAUCUAAGCACGAAACUUGCCCCGAGAUGAGUUCUCCCUGACUCCUUGAGAGUCCUGAAGGAACGUUGAAGACGACGACGUUGAUAGGCCGGGUGUGUAAGCGCAGCGAUGCGUUGAGCUAACCGGUACUAAUGAACCGUGAGGCUUAACCUUACAACGCCGAAG